rfam:Reticulomyxa filosa solexa3745696_1.f1.exp, whole genome shotgun sequence.
UUCCAGGUGUUUUUCAACACCACCAAUAUUUACCUCCCCCUAAAU